AAAGCGAUGAUGUGUGAGGUUGCCUUAAUAAGGCUAAAGCCAGUCAUAUUGAGGGUUUUUACACGGAGCGAUGUCAAGUUAAA
rnacentral:ncRNA from 1 species